GAAAACCUGCUUCGGCAGAAAAUGAGCUUUAGUGGCAAUUCAGCCACGCUUCGGAGGGGAAAGCCUUAAGUAGAAUUUGGGUCUUCUCAGCGCAGUCAGGAUAUUUAUCUCAGCUACCUCUGCGCAGUUAUCUCAGCGCAGCUAUCUCAGCGCAGCUAUCUCAGUUAUCUUAGCUACCUCAGUUAUCUUAGCUACCUCAGGGCAGCUACCUCAGCGCAACUAUCUCAGCGCAGCUAUCUCAGCACAGUCAGGGCAGCUAUCUCAGCACAGUCAGGGCAUCUAUCUCAGCUAUCUCAGAGCAGUUAUCUAGUUAUCUCAGCUACCUCAGCGCUGCUAUCUCAGCGCAGUCAGG
rnacentral:lncRNA from 1 species